CAGUAGCCGCGGUAAUACGAAGGGUGCAAGCGUUAAUCGGAAUUACUGGGCGUAAAGCGUGCGUAGGCGGUGAGUUAAGUCUGCUGUGAAAUCCCCGGGCUCAACCUGGGAAUGGCAGUGGAUACUGGCUCGCUAGAGUGUGUCAGAGGAUGGUGGAAUUCCCGGUGUAGCGGUGAAAUGCGUAGAGAUCGGGAGGAACAUCAGUGGCGAAGGCGGCCAUCUGGGACAACACUGACGCUGAGGCACGAAAGCGUGGGGAGCAAACAGGAUUAGAUACCCCAGUAGUCCUGUCUCUUAUACA
rnacentral:rRNA from 1 species